rnacentral:rRNA from 1 species
CCUACGGGUGGCAGCAGUGAGGAAUAUUGGUCAAUGGGCGCGAGCCUGAACCAGCCAAGUAGCGUGAAGGAUGACUGCCCUACGGGUUGUAAACUUCUUUUAUAAAGGAAUAAAGUGAGGCACGUGUGCCUUUUUGUAUGUACUUUAUGAAUAAGGAUCGGCUAACUCCGUGCCAGCAGCCGCGGUAAUACGGAGGAUCCGAGCGUUAUCCGGAUUUAUUGGGUUUAAAGGGAGCGUAGGUGGGUUGUUAAGUCAGUUGUGAAAGUUUGCGGCUUAACCGUAAAAUUGCAAUUGAUACUGUCAGUCUUGAGUAUAGAUGAGGUAGGCGGAAUGCGUGGUGUAGCGGUGAAAUGCUUAGAUAUCACGUAGAACACCGAUUGCGAAGGCAGCUUACUAAACUGCCACUGACAUUGAUGCACGAAAGUGUGGGUAGCAAACAGGAUUAGAUACCCGUGUAGUC